rnacentral:rRNA from 1 species
GACGUAGGGGGCGAACGUUAUCCGGAUUUAUUGGGCGUAAAGGAUGCGUAGACGGUAAAAUAAGUUAUUAGUUAACGCCAAGCUCAACUUGGCUGAAGCUAGUAAUACUGUUUUGCUAGAGGAUGGGAGAGGUUGAUGGAAGUAUAUGUGGAGCGGUAAAAUGUGUAGAUAUAUGGAAGAAGACCAAUAGCGGCGAAGGCAGUUAACUAGUCUGUUACUGACAUUGAGGCACGAAAGCGUGGGGAGCAAAAAGG